CGAAGGAGAGGAUGGUCUUGGAGCAAGAAAAGUGUUGAGUCUAGAUGUAUUAUGGUGCGACUAAGACCGUGUUGGGAAGGAGCAAGCAGCUGGGGCUUGACUCUUUAAGAUCAGAGAUACUCGGCCUCCUCUUCACCAGUCAUGAAAUUUGACCCUUAUUUAGCAGCAUGA
rnacentral:rRNA from 1 species